GUAGCACAUCACUAGCUGCAGACAUGAGUAAUGAACGAGUCACCUAUGCAGAAUUGAAUGUGGCAAAGAACUCAAGGAACCAGCACAGGAAACCAAGAGAUACUCGCAGCUCCAUUUCACUAAUUGAGCAGGAAAUCAUCUAUGCAGACUUCAGCUUUCAAAAUCCUUCUCAAGAACAUCCCUGGAUUGGUAGGGACUGCUGCUGCAAAGGUUUUCCAUCUCCUCCAGAAAAACUCAUUGCUGGUACCUUAGGCAUCAUCUGUUUUGUCUUAAUUGUUGCUGUGGUUGUAAUUACUACAGUUGCCGUACCAUAUACUGAAGCAAAGGCAUGGAUCAACUCCUCAAUGACUAGAACUCACAGAGCACAGCCUUGUGGUCCUUGUCCAAAGGAGUGGAUAUCAUAUUCCCACAAUUGUUAUUACAUUGGUGUGGAGAGAAAAUCUUGGAAUGACAGUUCAAUGUCCUGCAUUUCCAAAACCUGUAGCCUGCUUCACAUAGACAGUGAAGAGGAGCAGGCAUUUCUGCAAUCUCUUUCAUUUGUCUCCUGGACUGGAUUAUUUCGGAAGAGCAGAAGUCAGCCCUGGGUCUGGAAAAAUAACUCAACUUUCAAACCAAAGAUAGCAGAGAUUUCCCAUGAUGAGCAUAACUGUGCCAUGAUGUCAGCUUCCGGUCUCAUAGCAGACAACUGUACAGCUUUACAUACAUACCUUUGUAAGUGCAAAUUCACCAACUGAAACACCUGCAUUUGAAGUCUGCCAGUUAGGUACAGUUCAAAGGCUUGAGGAUAUUUGAAUAAGAUGUUUGGAUCCAGCUGCAACAUAAAGAGUGUUCAUCUCACAUCUCUCCCAGCUGGACGGUCCUAGGCUUGCCAUCCUAUAUAUCUCUGUCUCCCUUCAGAUGAACUUGUGACUAGAAUCCAAAGGAUCAUCUGCUUUCUCUAACUGUCCCAUUCAAUGUAGCUGGGCAGUGGUGGCGCACGCCUUUAAUCCCAGCACUUGGGAGGCAGAGGCAGGCGAAUCUCUGAGUUCGAGGCCAGCCUGGUCUACAGAGUGAGUUCCAAGACAGCCAGGGCUACACAGAGAAACCCUGUCUUGGAAAACAACAAACAAACAAAAAAACCCAAACAAACAAAAUGGUAACAGACACAGUUGUUACCAAAAGAAUGCCUUUUGAAUGAUUAUGGGGAAUUUUUCACUCAGAAGGCUGGAAGACUCUGUACAUGCUUCUCUGUACACAAUUAUCAGAUGACACAUUUAAUAUAUACUUAUUUAUGUAAUUUUGUAAAAAAAAAUCUUUCCAAUGUUUAUCCUGAAUUUGUCAAAUGUACAAUAACAGAAUUACUGAAAAGUGUUUUUUAGUCUAUGUGUUGUGAUCUUGUUACUCAAUGUCAUGCUUCUGGGAAUUUUUCUUAAGACGUUAAUUAGUACUUAUAAGUGGUUAUAUUAACCAUUGUGAAGUUUGAUCAGUUUUAGGUGUGAGCCUAGCUUUUAACAGCUGAGCCAUCACUCCAGCCCAAAUUUUGGUCAAUUUUGAACCUAUAGGUUUUUGCAAUAUUUUCCUCCCAAACCUUCAUUUUUAUAAUAUUUUCCACAAAAAUAAUUUUAUUAUAUACUUUUAUGUUUUGAUAUAAACUAAAAUUCCAAACAAGGAAAUUAAAAUUUGUAUUUUCAGAAAUAUUAAUUGUUUAAAUUCUCCUUUACCUUUUUCUGGCUAUUAUAAUUAAGGAGCAGAACAUUACAUCCUAAUAAACCCUAGAAAAGUAUACAACAAUUUUCAAAGUUAAAGUGUUUGCACAGGUUUAACUUUGUCUUGUUCUCAGCCUAUGCAAAAGUGAUCAUGACUUUCAAAUGAAAUGAACAAAAGAAUUAGUCAAUGAAUCUUCACAAAUAAAGACUUUACAAAAACAUGUAUUCUUAUACAAUAUUAAAAGGAUAUGCUUAAAGUCAACAUGACCAUUGGUAUUAAUCACCUCAAAUUUCGCUACUGUUGUGAUAAGACAAGAUUUAAAUAUUUAUUCUGUUUCAAAAGAAUUACUUCUAUGUAGUGACUUUUCAGAACAUAUAUAGGGUGAGCUUUUACUUGUUUUUGUCAUAUGCAGGUAGAUUUGGGGAUGAGUGCCUGACUUUUUUCCUGUAUGUUUGUACUAGUGGGGCUAUUUUAUCUGUAACAAGAUAUGCUUGCUCGUAAUUUGUAUGUGCCUGAUUAUAGCUAUACAAAGUCAUUAUUAAAUAUUAAUGCUGUUUCUGAGACAAAAUUUCUAAUCUUCAUUAUAUCCUUACCAUUUCAGUAGCAAAGGACUAGUUAACAGUUUGCAAUAGAUGUUGCCACAUUUGUGUAGAAAGAAAAACUUGAAUUGAGAAUUUGGUUUCCUAUUCCAAUUAGAACUCUGCUUUAUGUGUUUGGGGAACAGCUUAAUGGCUAAAAUGUUUGGUGUGAAAAGCUGAAGACCAGGAUCUGGCUCUCCAUCAACUAUAUAAAUGCUAGGCAGGUGUUGUUGUAUUUUAUGAAAAGGAAAAAGUCCAGGAACAUGACUUAUAGAGCAAAGUAGGUGAGGUGGGAGAGGGCGAUUCUGUGGGCACAUGCUGAGCCAGUCCUUCCCCCAAGGUACUCACCACAGCACAGAUAGAGUGGGAAAUAGAGUUUAUUUAGGUCAUGAGAAGGUGAGUUGAAAAGGAAGUAGAGAUAGAGAAAGAUACACACACAUACACACACACAAAGAGAGAGGGGGAGGGGACAGAGAGACAGAGACAGAGAGACAGAAAGAGCAGAAAGAGACAGAAAAAGACAGCAAGAGACAGAGGAGACAGAGAGAGAAAGAUAGAGGCUGGCCAGGAACUGUGGAAAGAGAAGGGAAGGGGAUGGGGACAGAGGGAGAAGGAUCAGAGAGAUAAGAGAGUAAGAGAAUAAGAGAAUAAGAGAGUCAGGAGGGGGCAAACAGCCCCUUUUAUAGUGAGUCAGGCAUUCCUGGUUGUUGCCAGGUAACUGUGGGGUGGAGACUAGAAGGAAUGCUAACAGGUGUGGCCACAAGCAGUAAUUCUACAUGUAGGAGCCAGAGAUUGGAGAUCACUAGGGUAAACUGGGCAGCUAGAGCAGCCAAGUUUGUGAGAUCAGCUAGAGAACUUGCCUCAGUGCAGAAGAUGUAUAGCAAUUGAUUUUCCCAUAUUAUGUGAUACAAACAAGUUGUGGGCAUAGGAAGUCCUUUAUUCAUGAACUGAAAAUAUUCAAAUUUGUCUCAGCAAUAUAAAAAUAAAAAUGAAACACUAUGAAGUCAAAAAGGA